AUGUAAGUGGAAUGAUUUGCGACCUAUUGCAACCACUGUAAAAAAUGCUAAAAAGUCUCUG
rfam:Bacterium TASB14 DNA, scaffold: TASB14_scaffold_7.